CAUCUUCAAGGAGCUGUCCCAGAUUGAAGCCUGUCAGGUCCAAUGCAAAUGAGGCUGAUUCCCACUCUGGUCAGCAUAAUGUAGGCCCCCGCAGAAAAGAUCCCUGCAGGGCUCUGUGCGACAGCCAUUGAUAUCCUGACUACAGUAGUACAAAAUACAAAGCCUCCCCUUUCACAGCUUCUCAUCUGCCAAGCUUUCCCUGCUGUGGCACAGUGUACCCUUCACACAGAUGACAAUGCCACCAUGCAGAAUGGCGGAGAGUGCUUGUGGGCCUAUGUGUCAGUGACCCUGGAACAAGUUGCCCAGUGGCAUGAUGAGCAGGGCCACAAUGGACUGUGAUAUGUGAUGCAAGUGGUGAGCCAGCUCCUGGAUCCCCAUACCUCAGAGUUCACUGCAGCCUUUGUGGGCCACCUUGUUUCCACCCUCAACUCCAAGGCAGGGCGGGAGCUGGGGGAGAAUCUAGACCAGAUUCUUCAUGCCAUCCUCAGUAAGAUGCAACAGGCAGAGACUCUCAGUGUCAUGCAGUCUCUGAUCAUGGUGUUCACUCAUCUGGUGCACACUCAGCUAGAACCUCUCUUGGAGUUCCUGUGUAGCCUCCCAGGACCUACUGGCAAACCUGCCCUAGAGUUUGUGAUGGCUGAGUGGACGAGCCGACAGCACCUGUUCUAUGGACAGUAUGAAGGCAAAGUCAGCUCUGUAGAACUCUGUAAGCUGCUCCAGCAUGGCAUCAAUGCAGAUGACAAAUGGCUACAGGAUAUUCAUGUGAAGGGAGAGGAGAUCUACAGCAUGGAUGAGGGCAUCCGCACCCACUCUAAGUCAGCCAAAAACCCAGAACGCUGGACAAACAUUCCUUUGCUGGUCAAGAUCCUAAAGCUGAUCAUUAAUGAGCUCUCCAACGUCAUGGAGGCUAAUGCUGCUCGCCAGGCCACUCCUGCAGAGUGGAGUCAAGAUGACCAGGAGGAGAAAGAGGAGGAGGAGGACCAGGAGGAGGAAGAGGAGGAGGAGGAAGAUGGUUUAGCUGGCCAACUUUUAUCUGACACUCUUGCUACAAGUAAAUAUGAGGAGGAUUACUACGAGGAUGAUGAGGAAGAUGACCCUGAUGCCCUGAAGGAUCCUCUCUAUCAGAUUGAUCUGCAGGCAUAUCUGACAGAUUUCCUCUGCCAGUUUGCUCAGCAGCCCUGCUACAUAAUGUUUUCGGGCCACCUUAAUGACAACAGGAGGUGAGUUCUACAAACCAUCAGCAUCUAAAAAGGGGAGCCUUUCUACAUUUGCUCCUUCUGACCCAGCCACAAACCAUUUUACAGCCCUCAGUGGCCUUAAGAUGUACUUUUUUCCUCAACCUAAAGUGGCAUCUUGACCUUUGGCCCUUGGCCUUAGCGGUGACACUGAUGACAACUCAGACCAGGCUCACCAGUGCCAGUCACUUAGGAAUGCUGGAACAAAGGACAUUUUUCAAAGUUCCCGUCAAGACAUCCCAUCUCUGGAACCUUUUUCUCCCCAACUCUGCCCCAACCACUGUUCCUAGAGCCCUCUGCUGGCCAGUCCAGAAACGUUAUUGCCCAGAAGAAUUAUGUGUUCAUGGAUUAUUUUGCCCUGCCUCAGGAACACAGGAAGUCACUACCAUUUAUAUUCUUAAACAGACCUAUCUACGUUCAUAGGACUUCUGAUGUGUUCAGAUAGGAAUCCUCAAGAGAGAUCAUUAUGCUUUCUGCCCUGGACCACUGCUGCUCUGGGUUCUCAGGAGGAACACGCAGGAGCAGCUUCAUUCUGAGCCUUUCCAGUGACCUCUGCCUUGCUUCCCUUCUACAACACUAAGGCUCCUCUGUCAGAGGAGGUCGUCUUGUUUUUGCCUCAUUGUAUGACAUAACCUUUCCCCUUAAGCUGUUCCUAUAUAUACAUGCACACACAAAAUAA